UAAACUGGUUUGAACUACCAUUUCUACUGACACCGUCGAGGCUUCGAUUUUGAGAUACAUGAUGAAUACUAUGCUGAAAAUGGAGUUUGAUCUCAUCGAUAUGCUGUUUGGCAAUGUCUUACUACUACUCUCCAAUUUCACUAGUUGAAACAAAUUCUUAGUAGAUAUUUGUAAUUUUGAACCAAUGUAUGAAUUUUGUUUAGCAGCACCUUCAGAAUAAUGCCUAAUGGAUUUUUCAGGAACUAGUGAAUGAUUUCCGGGUUCCCAAAGAAUCCAAGAGACGUUAUUCUGAAGGUGCUGCUAAACAAAAAUCAUACACUGGUUCAAAAUUAUAAAUAUCCCCUAAGAAUUUGUUCCAACCAGUGAAAUUGGAGAGGAGUAGUAAGACAUUGCCAAACGGCAUAUCGAUGAGAUCAAACUCUAAGUUUCCGCAUAAUAAUCAUGUAUCUCAGAAUCAAAGCAUCGGCAAAUUUUUUUAAGAUACUUACUCCUCAACUUCUCCAUAGGAUGAAAAAAGUUAGAGCAUACCAUUGCCACAACCUAACGCUGGAAGACAAUUUAAAGGCAGAACUUGUACCAUUAUGGUGUCUUUUUCUGUCAUGCAUCUCACCGUUGUACCGUUGUUCAAUGCAGGAUUAGAGAUGAGUCCUAGAGGAUUGAUUCUUGCUGUAAACUGGUUUGAACUAACAUUUCUACUGAAACCGUCGAGGCUUCGAUUCUAAGAUACAUAAUGAAUACUAUGCUGAAAAUGGAGUUUAAUCUCAUUGAUAUGCUGUUUGGCAAUGUCUUACUACUACUCUCCAAUUUCACUAGUUGAAACAAAUUCUUAGUAGAUAUUUGUAAUUUUGAACCAAUGUAUGAAUUUUGUUUAAUAGCACCAUCAAAAUAAUGCCUAAUGGAUUUUUCAGGAACCAAUGAAUGAUUUUCGGGUUCCCAAAGAAUAAAAGAGACGUUAUUCUGAAGGUGCUACUAAACAAAAAUCAUACACUGGUUCAAAAUUACAAAUAUCCCCUAAGAAUUUGUUCCAACCAGUGAAAUUGGAGAGGAGUAGUAAGACAUUGCCAAACGGCAUAUCGA
rnacentral:lncRNA from 1 species